GGAGGAGUGGCCGAGUGGUCGAAGGCAGCGGUUUUGAAAACCGCCGAUCUCGCAAGGGAUCCAGGGGUUCGAAUCCCUUCUCCUCCG
rnacentral:tRNA from 1 species